GGGUAAUGAAGUCUUACAGGGACAUGUGAUCAUGUCACCUGAACUGGAAUCCAUCUUUAACCUGGUGAUUUUCCAUUGAGAAGGUGGGGAUGGGAACCCAGAGAGGGAUUCCUGCCUUAUGCAAAAGACAUAUAAGAGAAAGGAACAAAAUAAAGAGAGGAGAGGAGCCAUCAUGAGGAAUCCCCUAGCUACCACCUGAGCUGGAACAAGGGCUGUACCAGGGGAAAGGAUUGUGCCCAGAUUAGGAAGGCAUCCAGUCUGUGAAAGAAACUUAUUGAAACAUCUCUGAGGGUGAGACUUUAUCUGUAUUCAGUUUUAUUACAGCAGUAGGCUUAGAGUUGAUUGUUUUAUUUUAUUUUACUUGGUAAUUCACUUUGUUCUGUCUGCUAUUACUUGGAACCACUUAUAUCCUACUUUCUGUAUUUAAUAAAAUCACUUUUUACUUAUUAAUUAA